AACUUUUAGCAAUGGAUCUCUUGGCUUUUGCAUCGAUGAAGAACGCCGCGAAUGUGCGAAACGUAAUGUGAAUUGCAGAAUUCAGUGAAUCAUCGAAUCUUUGAACGCAUCUUGCGCUCCUUGGUAUUCCGAGGAGCAUGCCUGUUUGAGUGUCAUGAACUCUCUCAAUGAAUUCUUUCAUUGGACUUGGAUGCUGCUGUUGUGGCUCAUCUGAAAUAGAUUAGCUGCUCAACCUUGGGUUUAGUGUGAUAAUGACUUUGAUCACUUGCGCUCAAGGCUUGGCUGCUUAUAAUGGUCCGUUGGACACUUAUCGUUUGACCUCAAAUCAGGUAGGACUACCCGCUGAACUUAAGCAUAUCAAUAAGCGGAGGCU
rnacentral:misc_RNA from 1 species